rnacentral:lncRNA from 1 species
GAACAUCACAAGAACUUACAAGACCAAGUGCUUGCGGCAUUUGCGAGUUUUCGCUCACUCAUGUUCGAGGGAAACAUGCUUGCGUGCAUGGGGAGGAUGGAUGCGUUUGACCUUAAGAAGCACCCAAAAUCACGCGUGAAAAAAUGUCUGUUGUUUAGAUUAGUGAGAGGCAAGUAGGUCGGACUCGGGGGUCAGUUUCAGAGGAAUUGAGGGAAGGGGGUUGGGCCAUGAGACCAUGUGCCUAAUUAGCACCAUUGUCAAAAAUGGACGUUUUCCAAUUCCAGGCAAAACACGAGGCGUUCCCAGUGUGACUUCGAUCACGCAGCCACGGCAGCCAGGUCUAACAACGGGCUUGUGAGGUGCCUCGGACUACAAGGUUGCACGGUUUCAACAUCUGCGAAGUAGUUAGUGGUUUGCGCCUGCCAUUCUAGUCUUCACGGAUGUUCAUUGUGGCUUUCCAGGUUACUUGGAUAGGGACUCGGUGAUAUGCCCGCAUGCAGGUUUGGGCAGGGAACAUCACAAGAACUUACAAGACCAAGUGCUUGCGGCAUUUGCGAGUUUUCGCUCACUCAUGUUCGAGGGAAACAUGCUUGCGUGCAUGGGGAGGAUGGAUGCGUUUGACCUUAAGAAGCACCCAAAAUCCUAAAAUUGUAGAUCGCCUGUCGUCACACGCAUGCCACGCUGAAAAUGUCUGUUAUUUAAUUAGUGAGAGGCAAGUAGGUCGGACUCGGGGGUCAGUUUCAGAGGAAUUGAGGGAAGGGGGUGGGGCCAUGAGACCAUGUGCCUUAUUAGCACCAUUGUCAAAAAUGGACGUUUCCCAAUUCCAGGCAAAACACGAGGCGUUCCCAGUGUGACUUCGAUCACGCAGCCACGGCAGCCAGGUCUAACAACGGGCUUGUGAGGUGCCUCGGACUACAAGGUUGCACGGUUUCAACAUCUGCGAAGUAGUUAGUGGUUUGCGCCUGCCAUUCUAGUCUUCACGGAUGUUCAUUGUGGCUUUCCAGGUUACUUGGAUAGGGACUCGGUGAUAUGCCCGCAUGCAGGUUUGGGCAGGGAACAUCACAAGAACUUACAAGACCAAGUGCUUGCGGCAUUUGCGAGUUUUCGCUCACUCAUGUUCGAGGGAAACAUGCUUGCGUGCAUGGGGAGGAUGGAUGCGUUUGACCUUAAGAAGCACGCCAUGCCACGCGUGAAAAUGUCUGUUGUUUAGAUUAGUGAGAGGCAAGUAGGUCGGACUCGGGGGUCAGUUUCAGAGGAAUUGAGGGAAGGGGGUUGGGCCAUGAGACCAUGUGCCUAAUUAGCACCAUUGUCAAAAAUGGACGUUUUCCAAUUCCAGGCAAAACACGAGGCGUUCCCAGUGUGACUUCGAUCACGCAGCCACGGCAGCCAGGUCUAACAACGGGCUUGUGAGGUGCCUCGGACUACAAGGUUGCACGGUUUCAACAUCUGCGAAGUAGUUAGUGGUUUGCGCCUGCCAUUCUAGUCUUCACAGAUGUUCAUUGUGGCUUUCCAGGUUACUUGGAUAGGGACUCGGUGAUAUGCCCGCAUGCAGGUUUGGGCAGGGAACAUCACAAGAACUUACAAGACCAAGUGCUUGCGGCAUUUGCGAGUUUUCGCUCACUCAUGUUCGAGGGAAAAUUGCUUGCGUGCAUGGGGAGGAUGGAUGCGUUUGACCUUAAGAAGCACCCAAAAUCCUAAAAUUGUGAUCGCUGUAGAACACGCCACACGGUGAAAAUGUCUGUUGUUUAGAUUAGUGAGAGGCAAGUAGGUCGGACUCGGGGGUCAGUUUCAGAGGAAUUGAGGGAAGGGGGUUGGGCCAUGAGACCAUGUGCCUAAUUAGCACCAUUGUCAAAAAUGGACGUUUUCCAAUUCCAGGUAAAACACGAGGCGUUCCCAGUGUGACUUCGAUCACGCAGCCACGGCAGCCAGGUAUAACAACGGGCUUGUGAGGUGCCUCGGACUACAAGGUUGCACGGUUUCAACAUCUGCGAAGUAGUUAGUGGUUUGCGCCUGCCAUUCUAGUCUUCACGGAUGUUCAUUGUGGCUUUCCAGGUUACUUGGAUAGGGACUCGGUGAUAUGCCCGCAUGCGGGUUUGGGCAGGGAACAUCACAAGAACUUACAAGACCAAGUGCUUGCGGCAUUUGCGAGUUUUCGCUCACUCAUGUUCGAGGGAAACAUGCUUGCGUGCAUGGGGAGGAUGGAUGCGUUUGACCUUAAGAAGCACCCAAAAUCCUAAAAUUGUAGAUCGCCUGUCGUCACACGCCAUGCCACGUGUGAAAAUGUCUGUUGUUUAGCUUAGUGAGAGGCAAGUAGGUCGGACUCGGGGGUCAGUUUCAGAGCAAUUGAGGGAAGGGCGUUGGGCCAUGAGACCAUGUGCCUAAUUAGCACCAUUGUCAAAAAUGGACGUUUUCCAAUUCCAGGUAAAACACGAGGCGUUCCCAGUGUGACUUCGAUCACGCAGCCACGGCAGCCAGGUAUAACAACGGGCUUGUGAGGUGCCUCGGACUACAAGUUGCACGGUUUCAACAUCUGCGAAGUAGUUAGUGGUUUGCGCCUGCCAUUCUAGUCUUCACAGAUGUUCAUUGUGGCUUUCCAGGUUACUUGGAUAGGGACUCGGUGAUAUGCCCGCAUGCGGGUUUGGGCAGGGAACAUCACAAGAACUUACAAGACCAAGUGCUUGCGGCAUUUGCGAGUUUUCGCUCACUCAUGUUCGAGGGAAAAUUGCUUGCGUGCAUGGGGAGGAUGGAUGCGUUUGACCUUAAGAAGCACCCAAAAUCCUAAAAUUGUAGAUCGCCUGUCGUCACACGCCAUGCCACGUGUGAAAAUGUCUGUUGUUUAGCUUAGUGAGAGGCAAGUAGGUCGGACUCGGGGGUCAGUUUCAGAGCAAUUGAGGGAAGGGCGUGGGGCCAUGAGACCAUGUGCCUAAUUAGCACCAUUGUCAAAAAUGGACGUUUUCCAAUUCCAGGUAAAACACGAGGCGUUCCCAGUGUGACUUCGAUCACGCAGCCACGGCAGCCAGGUAUAACAACGGGCUUGUGAGGUGCCUCGGACUACAAGUUGCACGGUUUCAACAUCUGCGAAGUAGUUAGUGGUUUGCGCCUGCCAUUCUAGUCUUCACAGAUGUUCAUUGUGGCUUUCCAGGUUACUUGGAUAGGGACUCGGUGAUAUGCCCGCAUGCGGGUUUGGGCAGGGAACAUCACAAGAACUUACAAGACCAAGUGCUUGCGGCAUUUGCGAGUUUUCGCUCACUCAUGUUCGAGGGAAAAUUGCUUGCGUGCAUGGGGAGGAUGGAUGCGUUUGACCUUAAGAAGCACCCAAAAUCCUAAAAUUGUAGAUCGCCUGUCGUCACACGCCAUGCCACGCGUGAAAAUGUCUGUUAUUUAGCUUAGUGAGAGGCAAGUAGGUCGGACUCGGGGGUCAGUUUCAGAGCAAUUGAGGGAAGGGGGUGGGGCCAUGAGACCAUGUGCCUAAUUAGCACCAUUGUCAAAAAUGGACGUUUUCCAAUUCCAGGUAAAACACGAGGCGUUCCCAGUGUGACUUCGAUCACGCAGCCACGGCAGCCAGGUAUAACAACGGGCUUGUGAGGUGCCUCGGACUACAAGUUGCACGGUUUCAACAUCUGCGAAGUAGUUAGUGGUUUGCGCCUGCCAUUCUAGUCUUCACAGAUGUUCAUUGUGGCUUUCCAGGUUACUUGGAUAGGGACUCGGUGAUAUGCCCGCAUGCGGGUUUGGGCAGGGAACAUCACAAGAACUUACAAGACCAAGCGCUUGCGGCAUUUGCGAGUUUUCGCUCACUCAUGUUCGAGGGAAAAUUGCUUGCGUGCAUGGGGAGGAUGGAUGCGUUUGACCUUAAGAAGCACCCAAAAUCCUAAAAUUGUAGAUCGCCUGUCGUCACACGCCAUGCCACGUGUGAAAAUGUCUGUUGUUUAGCUUAGUGAGAGGCAAGUAGGUCGGACUCGGGGGUCAGUUUCAGAGCAAUUGAGGGAAGGGCGUUGGGCCAUGAGACCAUGUGCCUAAUUAGCACCAUUGUCAAAAAUGGACGUUUUCCAAUUCCAGGUAAAACACGAGGCGUUCCCAGUGUGACUUCGAUCACG